rnacentral:lncRNA from 1 species
ACCAAGCGCAGCAGCAAGAAGGCGUCGGCGGCGCAGCUGCGGAUCCAGAAGGACAUAAACGAGCUGAACCUGCCCAAGACGUGUGAUAUCAGCUUCUCAGAUCCAGACGACCUCCUCAACUUCAAGGCUUCUACAAGAGUGGGAAGUUUGUGUUCAGUUUUAAGGUGGGCCAGGGUUACCCGCAUGAUCCCCCCAAGGUGAAGUGUGAGACAAUGGUCUAUCACCCCAACAUUGA